CCUACGGGAGGCAGCAGUGGGGGAUAUUGCACAAUGGGGGAAACCCUGAUGCAGCGACGCCGCGUGAGUGAAGAAGUAUUUCGGUACGUAAAGCUCUAUCAGCAGGGAAGAAUAAUGACGGUACCUGACUAAGAAGCCCCGGCUAACUACGUGCCAGCAGCCGCGGUAAUACGUAGGGGGCAAGCGUUAUCCGGAUUUACUGGGUGUAAAGGGAGCGUAGACGGCUGUGCAAGUCUGAAGUGAAAGGCAGGGGCUUAACCCCUGAACUGCUUUGGAAACUGCCAUGCUAGAGUGCUGGAGAGGUA
rnacentral:rRNA from 1 species